CCUGGCUCUGCGUCGGCCUCGGGCGGCAGGCACAGCGUGGGCACCGGCGUGGGCGCGGCUGCGGGUGCAGGCCCUGGGGCAGCCGGCCCAGCCUCGCUCUCCACCGGUUGGGGAAGCACAUAGGCAAAGCCGCGGUCCUCCCAAGUGAUGUCCGUGAUGAAGUCAAUGUUCUCGUAGCCGUUGUCCACCAGCACCUUGUAGUACUGCGCCAGGCCGAUCAUGGACAGCCACACGGCCAGGGCCCUCCGGAGGCUUGACCGGGCUGUCCCCGGGGCUGGAGUCGGACACCGGCUUCUGGGAGAGCACUGUUGCCAGGAGCUGGAACCCAGACAGGCUGGCUGGCCAGUGCUGCUCCAGACCCAGGCACCCUGGCCCUGCCGCCACCCCACCUACCUUGACCCCUUCAGAGCCAGCGUGCAGGGUGUGGCCCCCGCCGCUCCGGCCCCCAGCCACGCUGCUCAAGCUGCCGCUGCGGUCCCCACCUGCCCACAGGACAGAACAAGAUCAGCCGCUGCCUGCCCUGCCCUGCCCCACUGCCUCCCCCCGAGGCCCCCUACCCACCUGCAAAAGGCUUCCUCAGCACCCAGAUCUCUUCGGGGGGUGCAGCGGGCCCCGCGGAGCUGCCUCCCUGGGGUGGACUUGGUUCAGCACCUGCUCGGGGACCUGCAGGCCAAGCACAGCUGCCCUGAGCCCUGGACUGGCUCCAGGGCCUGUGUAGAGCAGAGGCCAGACACGCACACACACAUGCACACACGCACGCGUACAUACAUUCAUGUGCACACACACACACAGACACGCAUGCACGCACACACAGAGACAUGCAUGCACAGAGAUGCACACGCGCACACAGACACAUGCAUGCGUACACACACGUGCACAUGCACACACAGAGACACACGCAUGUGUGCACACAGGCUGGGUGGCUCAGCGCCAGCUCCUCCUCCCUGGCUGUCUCCAAGAAGCUGAGAGACCCUCAGAAGACCCCUCCUAACCCUGGACACUGGCAAGCAGGAGACCAGGGCAGAGUGGGGUGCAGACCAGGCUAUUCUGCCAGUGGUCCAGUAUGUGGGGGUGGGGGCUCGCAGGAGGGUACAAACCCCUCUGAUAAGGGAGCAGGGGAAAGAGGUCCCCAGGAGCCUGGGGCCAGGGCACUCGAUGACCUUGGGUGGACUGACCGACCACACCUCCUAGCUGGCCCCCCUCUGCCCUCUCACUGGCCUGUCAACCUCCACGUCCUCUGCACAGGGUAAGCCCGUCACACGUGUACCCCAUCUGAAGCCAUUCCGCAGCCCUGUGGCCUCCUCCUACGCCCCUCGCUCUGUCACCAAGUCAGCCUCCCUGGGCUCUGGACCCUCGCACAGGUCACACUCUGCCCUGCCUGAGCGUCUCUGCAUGUGUGGUUCCCACUACCCCGAAGUCACCGCCUGCAGCCUGCCCCCUCCCACUCCUCAGGGCCUUGUCCGUCCACUGUCUGAAGCGUGUCUCCAUCUGCAAUGUCUGGGUCACUGGUCGGCACGUUUCCCUCCAUGCUGACUUCACUGUCCUGUGCUCCCUUCCGCCCAGGGCAAGCUCCUUGAGAGCAGGAACGAGGCCAUUUGGGUGACCGUCUAUUCCUUGAGCCUGGCGUGCAGUGUCUGCUGAAUCAAUGGAGGACCGGGUCUGGGGACCUGGAUAAGACCGCUGGCAGGACAAACCCCGGACCUCACACCCAGUGA